CCCCCAGCUAUUGAUCAUAGUACAUAUAUAUCGGCCGUGGACUGUCAAUGAUGUAACACACAACAGUAUACACAAGGAUUUAAAUACUGCAUUGAUUGCUAUACCUUUCCAUUCCAAUCAAUUAACACAAGACGUAACUAUGGAAACAAACUAUUCCACCCCAAAAAAGAAGACCGACAGCAAGAAUAAUUUUUUCACACAUUUAUUGUAUCCAUUGAAUUGCACACUAUACCUGUAUUGAUGAUCCUCUGCAGGGGGUAAUAUUGAUGCCAUUGAUCAGGGUGGGUUAACACAUUUCUAAUCAUUAUUAUUGCUAGUCAAUACAUUCCAAAGACAUUCUCUUAUCUUUUGUGACCUUUGUAUACAAUUAAUUCAUUUUUAAUGUUACUUUUUCAAAUUUGAAAAGUAUCUGAGAUAUAAGGACUGUUACAUAAAGGAAAUCAACAGUUUCAUCAAUGAAUGUUUAACAACAUAUGUUGCUGUUUUUAUUGAGCUAGGUGGCUUGUAAGUACUUGAGAUAUGGAUGUCUAACUACAUUUUAAUUCAUUAACAUAAUGUUUGAAAGAUAAGACCUUUAUAUGAUCAAAGUCUUUUUAAAAUGUCAAUGCUAAUAGUUUUAAUAUAACUAUUGCUGCUUACAUGAAAACGAAAACAACACUGUAUCAAUUCCAUGAAUUCAAAACUCUCUCCUGAAUUUGACUUCUGACAUGUCAUGACCACUUAAAGCC
rnacentral:lncRNA from 1 species